UGGGGAAUAUUGCACAAUGGGCGAAAGCCUGAUGCAGCGACGCCGCGUGAGGGAUGACGGCCUUCGGGUUGUAAACCUCUUUCAGCAGGGAAGAAGCGAAAGUGACGGUACCUGCAGAAGAAGCGCCGGCUAACUACGUGCCAGCAGCCGCGGUAAUACGUAGGGCGCAAGCGUUGUCCGGAAUUAUUGGGCGUAAAGAGCUCGUAGGCGGUUAGUCGCGUCUGCUGUGAAAACUCGAGGCUCAACCUCGGGCUUGCAGUGGGUACGGGCUGACUAGAGUGCGGUAGGGGUGACUGGAAUUCCUGGUGUAGCGGUGGAAUGCGCAGAUAUCAGGAGGAACACCGAUGGCGAAGGCAGGUCACUGGGCCGCAACUGACGCUGAGGAGCGAAAGCAUGGGGAGCGAACAGGAUUAGAUACCCUGGUAGUCCAUGCCGUAAAACGUUGGGCACUAGGUGUGGGGUCCAUUCCACGGAUUCCGUGCCGCAGC
rnacentral:rRNA from 1 species